NNNNAACGGGCGAAACCGCGAAUGGCUCAAGAACCGGACCUAAUCCUCGGGACCGUAAUCCUCCUCGGAGGCGAUGGAUAACUGUGGCAAUUCUAGAGCUAAUACAUGUGACACAGGCCGCGAUCGGUCGGCGCGUCGUCGUCGCCUCGCCUCGUUGCGCGUUGGCACGCGCGUCGACCGUUCCGGGUCGCGGCGCUACAUAUUAGACUGAGACCGAUGCGCGUUAUUCCGUCCUCCCGUCCUCCUCGAUGCCUACUUCGGCUGUAGGCUGCGGUUACUCGGCGGCGCUCACGCGUCGUCGUUUGCCGGUCCUCGUCGUCGUCGUAACGUGUCGUGCGUGUCUGUCGGGGCUAAAGGGCGGCGCGCUCCGCUUUGGUGACUCUGGAUAACUCACUGGUCGAUCGCACGGGCUUUYACGCCUGGCGACGGGUCUCUCGAGGGUCCGCCUAUCAACUGUCGACGGUCGGUUAAGUGCCUACCGUGGUUACUACGGGUAACGGGGAAUCGGGGUUCGAUUCCGGAGAGGGAGCAUGCGAAACGGCUACCACAUUCAAGGAAGGCAGCAGGCGCGCAAAUUACCCACUCCCGGCACGGGGAGGUAGUGACCAAAAAUUACGACCCCGGGACUNNNNNNNNNNNNNNNNNNNNNNNNNNNNNNNNNNNNNNNNNNNNNNNNNNNNNNNNNNNNNNNNAGAUGUCCGGUUUCGUUCGGUGGCGUCUCGCGCUCGGUAUAUAGGAUGAUUAGGGUGUGUGGCGUUUUGGUGUCGAGUUCAGAGGAAGUGCGCUCGGCGGACGAAGAAGAAGACGGCGAAGAGUCGGGAGUUGGUUGGUUGUCGUUGUAAAGGCGACUUCCUCUCUCUCCCUCGCUCUCUCGCUCUCUCUCUCUCUCUAUCUCUCCUCCACUUCUUUUCUUCUUUCUCCGUUCUCAUCGUGCCCACCUUCGUCUUCUCUCUCUGUCCUAACCCCGUGGUCGUGGUCGUUGCCUUUCUUCCGCUUCUCUUCUGUCCUUGUCUCUCUUCUGCUGUCGUCUCUGCGCGAGUCUUUCUUCGUGUCUGUUUGCGCGUGUGCGCGGUCGGCGGUUUCUCCUCCAAGGGUGCUCUUGACCGAGUGUCCGCGGCGGCCGGUACGUUCACUUUGAAAAAAUUAGAGUGCUCAGAGCGGGCUGUUCAAGCUUGCAUACGAUAAGCAUGGAAUGAUGGAAGAGGGCCUCGUCUACGUCUGUCGGUCUCCGUCUACGGCGAGGCAAUGAUCGAAGGGAGCGGUCGGGGCCACUCGUAUUGCGACGUUAGAGGUGAAAUUCUUGGAUCGUCGCAAGACGAACUGCAGCGAUGGCGUGUGGCAAGCACGUUUUCCUCGAUCAAGAGCGAAAGUCGGAGGUUCGAAGACGAUCAGAUACCGUCGUAGUUCCGACCGUAAACGAUGCCGACCGGCGAUCCGCCGGCGUUCGCUUCCAUGACCCGGCGGGUAGCCUGCGGGAAACCAGAGUUCGGUUCCGGGGGGAGUAUGGUUGCAAAGCUGAAACUUAAAGGAAUUGACGGAAGGGCACCACCAGGAGUGGAGCCUGCGGCUUAAUUUGACUCAACACGGGAAAACUCACCCGGUCCGGACACCGGUAGGAUUGACAGAUCGAUAGCUCUUUCUCGAUUCGGUGGGUGGUGGUGCAUGGCCGUUCUUAGUUGGUGGAGCGAUCCGUCUGGUUGAUUCCGAUAACGAACGAGACUCCGGCCUGCUAACUAGUGCGCCGAUGUGUGUGUUUUUUUACGGCGGGCUCGUCGUCGGCGUUAAUUCGUCGUACGCCGCGGGUCCGGGUCGGUUUCUCACGCACUUCUUAGAGGGACGGGUGGCAGAAAGCCACACGAGGCGGAGCGAUAACAGGUCUGUGAUGCCCUUAGAUGUCCGGGGCCGCACGCGCGCUACACUGGAGGUAUCAGCGGGGACUUCGCCCCGGCCCGAGAGGGUCGGGAAACCUCUCAACCACCUCCCGUGAUAGGGAUCGGGGCCUGUAACCAACCCCGUGAACGAGGAAUUCCCGGUAGGCGCGGGUCAACAGCCCGCGUCGAUCACGUCCCUGCCCUUUGUACACACCGCCCGUCGCUACUACCGAUCGAACGGUCCGGUGAGGUCCUCGGAUCUGGCCGACGACGCCGCCGGGUAACGCUCGUGCGCAAUGGCGAUCGGUUGCGGCCUCGCCGUAGUCGUCGUUAAUCGUGCGUUUUGUCGCCUCGGCGUUCGAUGCCUGGAGAAGACGACCGAACCCGAUCGUUUAGAGGAAGUAAAAGUCGUAACAAGG
rnacentral:rRNA from 1 species